rnacentral:rRNA from 1 species
AGCAGCCGCGGUAAUUCCAGCUCCAAUAGCGUAUAUUAAAGUUGUUGCAGUUAAAAGCUCGUAGUUGAAUUUCGGGAUCAAUUAAUCGGUCGUGCCUCUGGUACGCACUGGUUUUAUUGGUUUCUCCCUUCUGACGAACCAGGAUGUCAUUAAUUUGGUGUCUUGGAGAAUCAGGACUGUUACUUUGAAAAAUUAGAGUGUUUAAAGCAGGCUUCUAGGCAUGAAUACAUUAGCAUGGAAUAAUGAAAUAGGACGUUUGAUCCUAUUUGUUGGUUUCUAGGAUCGACGUAAUGAUUAAUAGGGAUAGUUGGGGGCAUUAGUAUUCAAUUGUCAGAGGUGAAAUUCUUGGAUUUAUUGAAGACUAACUAUUGCGAAAGCAUUUGCCAAGGAUGUUUUCAUUAAUCAAGAACGAAAGUUAGGGGAUCGAAGACGAUCAGAUACCGUCGUAGUCUUAACCAUAAACUAUGCCGACUAGGGAUCGGAUGUAAUUGUUUAAAUUUUUUAAUGUACUCAUUCGGUA